rnacentral:rRNA from 1 species
CUAAAUUCACUUUCUUACGGUUGGGCGCAGAACGGCAGCAUAAAGGAGCUUGCUCCUUGGGAGGAGAGAGGCGGACGGGUGAGGAAAACGUCCGAAUCUGCCUAUUUGUGGGGGAUAACGUAGGGAAACUUACGCUAAUACCGCAUACGACCUACGGGUGAAAGCGGAGGACCUUCGGGCUUCGCGCAGAUAGAUGAGCCGACGUCGGAUUAGCUAGUUGGCGGGGUAAAGGCCCACCAAGGCGACGAUCCGUAGCUGGUCUGAGAGGAUGAUCAGCCACACUGGAACUGAGACACGGUCCAGACUCCUACGGGAGGCAGCAGUGGGGAAUAUUGGACAAUGGGCGCAAGCCUGAUCCAGCCAUGCCGCGUGUGUGAAGAAGGCCUUCGGGUUGUAAAGCACUUUUGUCCGGAAAGAAAAGCACUGGGUUAAUACCCUGGUGUCAUGACGGUACCGGAAGAAUAAGCACCGGCUAACUUCGUGCCAGCAGCCGCGGUAAUUAA